GGGGAAUAUUGCACAAUGGGGGAAACCCUGAUGCAGCGACGCCGCGUGGAGGAAGAAGGUCUUCGGAUUGUAAACUCCUGUUGUUGAGGAAGAUAAUGACGGUACUCAACAAGGAAGUGACGGCUAACUACGUGCCAGCAGCCGCGGUAAAACGUAGGUCACAAGCGUUGUCCGGAAUUACUGGGUGUAAAGGGAGCGCAGGCGGGAAGACAAGUUGGAAGUGAAAUCUAUGGGCUCAACCCAUAAACUGCUUUCAAAACUGUUUUUCUUGAGUAGUGCAGAGGUAGGCGGAAUUCCCGGUGUAGCGGUGGAAUGCGUAGAUAUCGGGAGGAACACCAGUGGCGAAGGCGGCCUACUGGGCACCAACUGACGCUGAGGCUCGAAAGUGUGGGUAGCAAACAGGAUUAGAUACCCUGGUAGUCCACACCGUAAACGAUGAUUACUAGGUGUUGGAGGAUUGACCCCUUCAGUGCCGCAGUUAACACAAUAAGUAAUCCACCUGGGGAGUACGACCGCAAGGUUGAAACUCAAAGGAAUUGACGGGGGCCCGCACAAGCAGUGGAGUAUGUGGUUUAAUUCGACGCAACGCGAAGAACCUUACCAAGUCUUGACAUCCCUUGACGAACAUAGAAAUAUGUUUUCUCUUCGGAGCAAGGAGACAGGUGGUGCAUGGUUGUCGUCAGCUCGUGUCGUGAGAUGUUGGGUUAAGUCCCGCAACGAGCGCAACCCUUAUGGUCAGUUACUACGCAAGAGGACUCUGGCCAGACUGCCGUUGACAAAACGGAGGAAGGUGGGGAUGACGUCAAAUCAUCAUGCCCUUUAUGACUUGGGCUACACACGUACUACAAUGGCGUUAAACAAAGAGAAGCAAGACCGCGAGGUGGAGCAAAACUCAGAAACAACGUCCCAGUUCGGACUGCAGGCUGCAACUCGCCUGCACGAAGUCGGAAUUGCUAGUAAUCGUGGAUCAGCAUGCCACGGUGAAUACGUUCCCG
rnacentral:rRNA from 1 species